UGUAAUUUAUCAGAAUUUGACUGUACAGAUGUUUUCCCUGAAAACUCACAAUGCAGUAUGGAAGUGUGAAAAUCCUGUCAUUAUAAUGAGUGAAAAAUGACAGGAAAUCUGUAUCUCGAUGUGAGUAAGUAGGUACAAUUUCCUUUUAUCUUCCUGUUAAUAUCGAAACAAACACGUUUAUACUUUUAUAAAUUUACUUGAAAACAAGGAAGGUGACAUGCGCACUCAGGAGAAAUAUUAAUUGUGGACACCUUUUUUUCCCAUGUAGAGGGAUACCAUGAACUGUAUUAAACACAAGUUCUUGUUUGGAUUACUUUUAAAUUUAGUGACACAUUUGGAAUCAAUAGAGGUCUCCACUGACGCCGAGGAGAAGAAUAUAGGUCAGAAAUACUUGAGGAAAUUAGAAAACAUCUUAGAAAUACUUGCGGUAAAGAUAGAGAACAACACUUGUAGUUCAUUGCCCUCCACAU